rnacentral:rRNA from 1 species
UACAGAGGGGGCUAGCGUUGUUCGGAAUUACUGGGCGUAAAGGGCGCGUAGGUGGCCUGUUAAGUCGAACGUGAAAUCCCCGGGCUCAACCCGGGAACUGCGUCCGAGACUGGCAGGCUCGAAUCCGGGAGAGGGAUGUGGAAUUCCAGGUGUAGCGGUGAAAUGCGUAGAUAUCUGGAGGAAUACCGGUGGCGAAGGCGGCAUCCUGGACCAUUACUGACGCUGAGGCGCGAAAGCUAGGGGAGCAAACAGG